GGGGUAGGUCAUCUGGGGUUAAGGUCCUAUUUUGGGGUUACAGGGGGUAGGUCACCUGGGGUUAAGGUCCUGCUUGCAACCCUAAGGUUGUUAUGGGUAAUAUGAGUUUACGGGGUGCAGGUGUCGGGUCCUUAACCGUGCUCUCAGGGGACACCAAGAACGUGCUGACAGGGUCAGCAGACAUCAGCUGUAGACUAUGGGACUGUGAGUGAGAAAACAAGAUGGAGAAGAUAGACUUUAGUUACGGUAAACAGCCAUGUUGAACACCAGCUCGGCUGUGAGGACCUGUGGCUUUGACUUCAGUGGCAACAUCAUCAUGUUCUCUACAGACAAGCAGAUGGGCUACCAGUGUUUCCUCAACUACUUUGACCUCCGCGACCCCCAACAGAUCGAUAAGUACUGUACACUUCUGAUUGGUCUCAAAACAACCCUGUUGGUCUGUUACUGUAUCCAACCAUGUGGAUCUCUCUGACAUGCUGACCACACCAGACGCCAUUCAGGACACGCAGGUUGAAAUGUCAAAACCAACUGAAUUCAUUUGGGGACAGGUCAAAAAGCAUUAAACAUUCAUGGCAAUUUAGGUAGCUAACUUGCUGGUUGCUAGCUAAUUCGUCCUGGGAUAUAAACAUUGAGUUGUUAUUUUACCUGAAAUGCACAAGGUCCUCUACUCUGACAAUGAAUCCACAGAUAAAAGGGUCAACCUAGUUAGUUUCUAGUAAUCCCUCCUCCUUCAGGCUUCUUCUUCUGUGGACUUUAUAUUGCGGUUGGAAACCAACUGUAAUGUGUGUUACCACCACAACUGGACUGGAGUGUUGACCUCAGUUCAUCUUUCAAUCACCCACGUGCUCCUAAAAAAACUAUGAGAUGAGAGAGGAGAGCUUUCUCAAUAUCAAGGCUAUGCUCCCUGAGUCGGUACAUAGUCAAGGAUUUCCUUAAGUUUGGUUCAGUCUGGUCAGGUAUUCUGCCACUGUGUGCUCUCUGUUUUAGGGCAAAAUAGCGUUCUAGUUUGCUGUGAAAACCCAGCAGGCUCCGGACCUCGUGGGGUAUGAGUUGAGUACCCCAAGGCCCUGGACCUCGUGGGGUAUGAGUUGAGUACCCCAAGGCCCUUCCCUUAACCGUAUUGGUUUCACAACUGGAGGGACGGGAUAGAAACUGCUGUUUGGAGAUGAAGGUAAAAGCAACUGUUCCUUCUAAUGGGCUUUCUGGAGCUUCGGCUGUACUGUUUAUUCCUUCAGAUCAGAAUGUAUCUGGUUUCACAGCCAUCAGUUAUCUGAGGAGGUUUCUCCCCUUACGCCCUCUCUCCCUCUACCUCACGCACUCUCUCCCUCACCCCCUCUCCCUCUCUCCCUCUACCCCACGCCCAGAGAGCAGAGGUUCUGGGUUGGGGACUUGGUAUGCGCUGAAUCAGGAAGUGAUACUCGCUCAGCAAGUAGUGUGGCGUCCAUUAAACAAUGAUGUAGAAGAGUUGUCUUUUUUAAUACUUAAUGAUAAUUUGUAUGUGAUCCUUCUCAGCCCACUGUAGACAACUAAAACACGUUGUUUCCGGUUAACUCGACCUCAGCUGUUCCAGUGGAGAAGACGGUUACACUUUGACCCCCAGCUGGAGGCGUAAACGGUUACACUUUGACCCCCAGCUGGAGGUGUAAACAGAAGACCAGCAGCAAUACAUCCCUGUAUCAACAUCAAGUCAAACUUAUCAGUUAUACUCAGGAAGACUUCCACAGACGGAGAUGUUUAAAUAGUUGGGAGGAAAGGAAGCCACAGAAUAAUUUGGUCAUCAACAAAAGGAAGAGGAAGAGUAUUUAAACGGAUUCUCCUAAAUAAAUGGAAAUUGAGCCGCUACAUGAUUUGUCUAUAUUAUGCACAAUAAUCUGGCACAAAUCAGACCUUCUGAUUUAGUUCAUUUUUAAUGACUACCAAACACUGAAAAUGUUCACUAACCAGAUUUCCAUACCAGUAAAGUACAGGCCCGAUGGUAAACUUCCCAGAGGUCGACUAAAACAGACGGGAUCUUUUACGUUGUGGACCUCCCACUAUGACUCAGCCAUCUCUUGAACGCAACCAAAGGGCUCUCCUUAACCAUGGUAUAUUGGGGGUUUGAUAUGGCUAUGGGCUGUCCUUAACCAUGGUAUAUUGGGGGUUUGAUAUGGCUACGGGCCGUCUUUAACCAUGGUAUAUUGGGGGUUUGAUAUGGCUACGGGCUGUCCUUAGCCAUGGUAUAUUGGGGGUUUGAUAUGGCUAUGGGCUGUUCUUAACCAUGGUAUAUUGGGGGUUUGAUAUGGCUAAGGGCUGUCCUUAACCAUGGUAUAUUGGGGGUUUGAUAUGGCUAUGGGCUGUUCUUAACCAUGGUAUAUUGGGGGUUUGUUAUGGCUAAGGGCUGUCCUUAACCAUGGUAUAUUGGGGGUUUGAUAUGGCUAAGGGCUGUCCUUACCAUGGUAUAUUGGGGGUUUGUUAUGGCUAUGGGCUCUCCUUAACCAUGGUAUAUUGGGGGUUUGAUAUGGCUAAGGGCUGUCCUUAACCAUGGUAUAUUGGGGGUUUGUUAUGGCUAUGGGCUGUUCUUAACCAUGGUAUAUUGGGGGUUUGAUAUGGCUAAGGGCUGUCCUUACCAUGGUAUAUUGGCCGUAUAUAUCAAACCCCCAGAGUUGCCUCAUUGUUAAUGUAAACUGGUUACCAACGUAAUUAGAGAAGUACAAAUAAAAUGGUGGUCUGAUAUACCACGGCUGUCAGCCAAUCAGGAUUCAGGGCUCGAACCACCCAGUUAAUAAUUGCCGUUUGACCAUAAUAGUAAUCUCAUUGAGGUGGAAAGGAGUCGCUAUAUUGUGACAGAACGAUCAGUAGUUAAAUAAUGGCAUGCCACACAUCACAGCAACAUCAGUUUUAUAUUUGCAUGGAAAUGAGCUGCCAAGUUGUCUAGAUAAACCAAAUGAUUGCCUUUAUCAUGUUAUUUAGAACACAAAAAGUACGAAGUCGAUGAGAAAUGUUUUUUCUUUUUCUUCCCUAUAUAAAAACAAGUUAUAUGCACAUUUCACAACUGAACACCCAAAACAAGCACCAUAUCUGUCACCUUUACAGUAGAAAAUACCAGGGGUUUAAAACGUGAGCCGGUUCCCAACGGUGUAGGCUGAAGUUGCCUCUGCAUGCUGAUCUUGGG